UCUCCUAUAACUCAGUGGUAGAGCGUCCGACCGGUGUGUGGAAGGUCAUAGGUUCGACUCCUGUUAGGGAAC